GCCUGUGUCCACACUCAAUAACAUUGUGAAUUCUACAAACAAACAAUGUAACACUGAAAUGUGGGUGCAUUGGGGGUAAAACAGCAAUCCACUUAGCACUGGACCACUCGUUUCCAGCUUUGGGGGGAAUGGUAUGGUAAACUCCAGAAAUGCAAGAGGAAUUCAAGCCCUACAGCCUAAGUUUCCUGGACUAGUCCACCUUCCUUCCUUCCUCGCCAAAUGACGCAUGGAAAGCUGUUGAUCUUCAGUCUGUGGAGACAAUCUAACAUCAGCAACUUUCUGGGGGUGCUGCUACAAGGUGAGCCUCGGACUCUGCCGACGUCCUCUGUCUGUGCUCCCAGAUGACAGCCCAGUGAUGGCAGAUGGAGGGACAUCCCAGGCACUGCACUGGGCCUUUGCUGCUCCCAGAGCUGCCCCACGCCAUGGGACCCCAGCUGCUGGAUGCCUGACCCAGCUCGAUGCUGCUGGAGAUGUGUUAGGGCUGGCUCUGCUUGCUGCUGCCUGCAUGCCUUAUUCUUUUGAGUUAUGCCCCAGCCCGCUCCUGUCCUGUUGUGCUAGUGCCUCCGGGCUGUAUUGAGUUUUCAAUUAUCACAAUAUACAGUGCAGAUGCUAUGCAAAACAGCCAGUGUGGCUGAGCAUGCUGAACUCAGUAGAAACACAGUUAAAUAAAAGUACUACUAUAAUACCAGGAGGCUGAUUGGAACCACAAGAUACCAGUGUCAUAUCCUGUGGCUUUUAUGUUGGUAGACGUAGAUUUCAGCCAUUAAAGUCUAGCUAUCCAGCAGAUAACAACUAGAGGAAAUGGAUCUGGGUAUCUUCAGUUGUGAGUAACUGAUAUACAUUUGCCCAUAAAUGCAGAACCUGCUAAACUGCAGAAGAAGAAACAUUUGAGAUAUCUACAAAUAAAUCCAGGCAUGUACUAUGGAGUAGGAUUUAACUGUGUGCAGCUUAAACUCCCCGAACACAAAAUACAUUUAAAGUGGUACAUCAAGAGAGCUCUGACUUCAGAGAACCAGUGUGUGGCUACUUGUCAAUUCCAAAUUCAGGCAAGGAAAUAAACAGCAAAUGUAGGUCUCAACUUCUGUAUUUGUACAUGCAGUAACAAGCUCCCAGAUGAUACCGAUAUUGAGAUAUCUACGUGAGGGUAAAAGACUGACAGAAGAGGAAGAAAUAAACAAUAAAUACAAUAAUGUCAAAUUUUCCUGUCAUUAACUUCUAGGAAAGCUCAACAGCUGGAAUUUUAAAAUGUCUUAUGUAGACAAAUGUUAAGAGAACAACACAUUAAGUGUGUUUUUUCCAAAGGAAAAUGAAAUAGGCAUAAAGAGAAAAUUAUUAUAUUUAGUACUCUCAGGGCAAAUUCUACUUUAGGACUGUGAAAUAAUUUGAAAAUAUUAAUGAUUUAGCCUCACAGCUAGCUUUCAGGUAGAGAAUAAUGAUAAUUAUUACUAUAAAUAAAUAGUACUAUUAUCAUUCUUGCUCAGAAGAAUGGAAUAUUGAUGCAUAGAGAAUUCUGUAUUUGUCCAAAGUCUGUGUUUUACUACUGUAAUCAUCCUUCUAAAGAACUAUUAUAUAUUAGGAUUAUCCUUUUCCAAAUACUCUUUGAUAUAGUCUUCAGUUUAUCAGUUCUAAAAACCAACCAACCAAGCCUCCUUGUGAAACAGUGCCAGUGAACAUCUCCAUUUGCAUGUGAAUUCUCCAGCAGCAGCAGCCCUGCUUAAAAAAAAAAAAAAAAAAAAAAAAAAAGAGAGAGAAAAGGAAUCAUGAAAAUCAGUACAAAAUCUGUCAAGGCCCUAUCUGUGACUGGGUAUCAGAAUAUCACUAAGAAGCUCUGAAGAACAAAGUUCAUUCCAAGUCUAACACAUAGUGCUUUUUGGUCGAUGAAAUUAAUUCAAGCAGGGAGAAAUGAGAGUGCAUACCAUGAAAAACUGUUCCUCCACUGAGGAUCGAAGGAAAGAGGCAUCGCUGUGUGUGGUCUUGGUUUUGGUGUACAUAGCCAUGCUUAAGCACUAAAAUAAUCAGCAUGUCUCAUUUUGAUAGCCAGGUAUGCCUGCUGCUCCUCUGAGGAGUGCCAGGGAGUGAGGGACCUCUGGUCCUCACAGGAUGAGGACUCAGAUUACAUAUGAUUGUUGCAAAAAGCAAGAUUUACAGCCAGCUACCUGAAGUAGUACGGAAACAAAAUUAUAGUCUCCAUCCUGGUCUUGAAAAUCGCUCUACAAACAUGUUUAUUUCCUUCUGAAUGGGAAUAUAUAAAGGCUGGGGAUACUUACUUGUAGGCUAUUUUUGUAUCUCCUCUUCAGGAUCUGAAUCUUGCAUAUUAAUGAACUACAGGAAACAGGAAAACCAAACAUUAACACCAUUCUAAUGCAGCAUACUAUUUUUCUUUCCCUUUUUUUAACUGUUAGAGUAUGCAAAUGUUCAGUUAACUGGUCCUCAUGUUUUCUCUUUAUUGAAUUGCUUUCACUAUGGCAAAUAAAUAUUCAUAAAGAAAUGUGGACAAUAAAUCAUUUCAAAUAGUUCAAAGCCAUUUUCUUUCUAGACUGCAUAUAUUUUCAGCUGUAACUCGCCUUUAAUAUUUCAUUCAAAAGACAGACUUGUAGAAGGACAAUGGAGAUAAUGUGUCAAGUAGUAAUUAAAACAGGGAGUAAUGAUUAAAACCAUUUUGAUCUACAUUGUGCUCUGCCAGAUUCAUAAUCUCCUGUGUUUGUUCGGAUGACUUUCUACUUGCUUUAUACAGAAACUCAAAAUAAACUUCAGUUUGAAGACACUGCAGAAAACAAAAGAUUUCAGCCCCAACCUUGUGAAGCCCAGAGCUCUUCCCAGUCCUGGAGUUUAGGUAUAUAUUCUGUACCAUCCUAGCAGAUAAACUCAAGCAGGCACUGUCUUUCCUGCUAAUAUUGUGACUUCUCCAGGAAGCAGAUCCAAAUGCAGAGCAGAAGACAAGGAAGGGCCAUCCCAGUGUGUAUAGGUAAACGUAUAUCUCACCAUUUAGAUUUAAGCUAAGAGCUUCAAAAGAAAUUAAAUUUAUAAAAUCUGGUUAGCUUGUACAUUUAGGGAUCUUGGUCCAAAUCCAAGUAAUAAUUAUGUUCCUUGUCUCAUUGUACGUUUUGGCUGUUAAUACACAUAUUUGGCCCAAACUCAUUGUCUUUCCUGAUGUGUUGCUGACUUUAGGCCCUGAUUCAACAGAGAACUUACAUACAGACUUAAAUAAAUUGAUU